rnacentral:rRNA from 1 species
UACGUAGGGACCAAGCGUUGUUCGGAUUUACUGGGCGUAAAGGGCGCGUAGGCGGCAAUUCAAGUCAGUUGUGAAAUCUCCGAGCUUAACUCGGAACGGUCAACUGAUACUGUUUUGCUAGAGUACAGAAGGGGCAAUCGGAAUUCUUGGUGUAGCGGUGAAAUGCGUAGAUAUCAAGAGGGACACCUGAGGUGAAGACGGGUUGCUGGGCUGAUACUGACGCUGAGGCGCGAAAGCUAGGGUAGCAAACGGG